CGUGUCAUCUGGUUUUGAUGGUAUACGGGAACAGAAUAUCUGUAAUAACAUUAUGGCGAAGCUGAUUCAGAACUACAGCGCCGUCUUUGAGUCUCAGCUGGAAGAAAAACAGACUGAAGAGGAGUCUUCAAACAUCAUCAUGGUCAAAGUGAGUCCUUAUGUUUCACGUUUACACAAAAGUCAAUAUUUGCUGAGCACUUUUGGAACAACAUCAUUAUUUUAUGUAUGAGAGUGUGUAUGGAUGUUUCCCAGUACUGGAUUGGGGUUAGAAGGGCAUUUGCUGUGUAAAACAUAUGCUGCAAUAGUUGGAGGUUCAUUCCACUGUGGUAACCCCUGAUAGAUAAAGGAACUGAGCCAAAGGAAAAUGAAUGAAUGAGUACUGUACAUGAAUACCCAAGAAGUUGUACACCUUUUGACCGGUAGUCUACAUAGUCAGUGUCUCUCCUUGACCUUGCGUUGUGUCUGUUUGCAUCGGCAGGCCAAAACGUCAUCAAGCUAUCUCUCUCAUGAUGCAACCAUCAACAGCAUUUUCUUUUUUUCAGUUUCGUCAUGUAAAGCCAAGCUUCUUCUGAAAGGCAUGCGGUCAUGUGCGCUAAUGCUUUUACUGCUGCGGUCAGAGAGUACAGGUGACCUCAUGUCAGUCCAUCAUUGUUUUUUCUGAUGUUCCCAGGAGGCCAAAACAAACACCGAAAGCACAGAGGCGUCACUUUACACUCCGGUUCCACAGACGCAAACUCCACGUGUCAAGAAGAUGAAGGUCACACAAUGCACUCCAGUUGAAAAUACAGAUUCUUCAAGAAAACAGUUGAGUCCAGACAACCCUGCAUCAACACCAAGAAAAAAAAAGGUCACUCAAUGCACUACAGUUGACAGUGCAGACCUGUCAAGAGAAAAUGAGUCAGGUGCAGACGACCCUACACCCACACCAAGAAAAAAGAAGGUGAAGAAGAUUAAGACAGAAGCUAUGUCCAGAUCUAUUCCUCAACCGACUCCCUCUGGUGAUCCAGUCUCCAGACCUUCGCCCCAUCUUCCAGACCGAAGCUCAGGUGCUGGAGAUCAGUUUCAUCUGCACAGUCCAGACGGGAGUUUCAGCCCUAGUGCUGACAGCAUGAACGUGACCAUGAGCCCUGCUAGAUCAACAGGAACCUUCAACAGCCCACAAGAAGAUGAAAGACCAAUAUCUCCUUUCUAUAUUAGGUAG
rnacentral:lncRNA from 1 species